GCGGGAACAGCUAACCAAUUGCUGAAUCCAAGAGGCGUAUCCGUCCCUAUUUAUUAUACUAUUUUCUUUCCAGGCACGGUCGUCUCUCUGUCGCAGAAUUUCUGUCCUCGAUUAAGGAAGAAGGGAUCGGAAACUACCAGCAACAAUGUCGAAGGAGGCCCCACGUGAACCCGAACAGCUCCGCAAGCUGUUCAUCGGAGGUCUGAGCUUCGAAACCACGGAUGAGAGUUUGCGAGCACACUUCGAACAAUGGGGCUCUCUUACAGAUUGUGUGGUAAUGAGAGAUCCAGCCAACAAGCGCUCCAGGGGGUUUGGAUUUGUCACCUAUGCUGGUGUGAAUGAGGUUGACGCUGCCAUGGAAGCACGUCCCCACAAGGUUGAUGGUAGGCUCGUAGAGCCGAAGAGGGCGGUGUCCAGAGAGGAUUCCAGCCGACCAGGUGCUCAUGUCACAGUGAAAAAAAUAUUUGUUGGGGGUAUCAAGGAAGACACAGAAGACUCCCACCUGCGAGACUACUUUGAGCAAUUUGGCAAGAUUGAAGUAAUUGACAUUAUGACUGACCGCAACAGUGGCAAGAAGAGGGGAUUUGCCUUUGUCACGUUUGAUGACCAUGAUGCAGUGGACAGGAUUGUUAUUCAGAAGUACCACACACUGAACGGUCACAAUUGCGAAGUGAGGAAAGCCUUGUCCAGACAGGAGAUGCAGACUACAGGAAUGGGUAUGAGGGGUGGCCGUGGUGGUGGUGGUGGCGGUGGUGGCGGCGGUGGCAACUAUGGCAGAGGUGGGGGAUACGGAGGUGAUGCUGACUCGUCUGUUUCAGGAGGCAGAGGGGGGUGGAUAUGGAGGUGGAGAUGGUGGUUACAACAAUGGUUAUGGGGGAGGAGAUGGUGGCUAUGGAGGAGGACCCGGUGGUUAUGGUGGUGGUAACCGUGGCUACGGUGGAGGACAAGGAGGUUAUGGCGGAGGACAGGGUGGGGGCUACGGUGGCGGAAAUGGUUAUAACGACUACAACAAUGGCAAUGGCAACGGCGGGAACUUUGGCGGCGGUAACUUUGGCGGUGGUGGUGGUGGCGGCGGAAAUGGUGGCGGAAAUGGCUACAAUGACUUUGGCAGCUACAACAACCAGGCUUCCAACUACGGCCCGAUGAAGGGUAACAACUUUGGUGGUGGCAGCGGUGGUGGUGGUGGUGGCAGCGGCGGCGGUGGUGGCAGUGGCGGGGGUAGCGGCGGUGGCAGGAACAGUGGCCCAUAUGGUGGUGGUUAUGGAGGUAGCUCAGGUGGGGGUGGCGGCGGUGGUGGAUAUGGUGGGGGCUCCGGUGGACGACGGUUCUAAAUGUUCAGAAGGACUCAGUACUUAGGAGAGGAGAGCGAGACAAGUGACAGGGCAGCUGCAUGUUUACAACCUAGAUCUGCUCAGCCAAACAGAUGUGGCAGGUUACAUCUGCUACAAGAAGAGAUGUGUACAAUAGAGAAAUCAUGGAGGGGCUUCAUUCGUUUUUCUGUGUUGUCAAACAGGAUUAUUUGAUGUUUCUGGAAAGCAAGCAUUCCAAUGAGGUUUUAUGUAGUUUUUCUUUGAGUCGUUUUUAUUUUUGUGUAACUGCAACCAAUCAAGUUGAAAUAAACCACCUUUCAGUUUUUUUUAAA